UACAGAGGCCUCGAGCGUUAGGCGGAAUCACUGGGCUUAAAGCGUGUGUAGGCGGACUUCUAAGUACCUUGUGAAAUCCCACGGCUUACCCGUGGAACGGCUGGGUAUACUGGUUGUCUUGAGCCACUUAGGGGCUACCGGAACAAAUGGUGGAGCGGUGAAAUGCGUAGAUAUCAGGAGGAACACCUGCGGUGUAGACGGCUUUCUGGACCAUUGCUGACGCUGAGACACGAAAGCGUGGGUAGCAAACAGG
rnacentral:rRNA from 1 species